UACAGAGGGUGCGAGCGUUAAUCGGAAUUACUGGGCGUAAAGCGUGCGUAGACGGUUAUGUAAGUCAGAUGUGAAAGCCCCGGGCUUAACCUGGGAAUGGCAUUUGAGACUGCAUAGCUAGGAUGCGGAAGAGGGAAGUGGAAUUUCCGGUGUAGCGGUGAAAUGCGUAGAUAUCGGAAGGAACAUCAGUGGCGAAAGCGACUUCCUGGUCCAGCAUCGACGUUCAGGCACGAAAGCGUGGGGAGCAAACAGG
rnacentral:rRNA from 1 species